GUGGGGAAUAUUGGACAAUGGGCGAAAGCCUGAUCCAGCCAUGCCGCGUGUGUGAAGAAGGUCUUCGGAUUGUAAAGCACUUUAAGUUGGGAGGAAGGGCAGUAAGUUAAUACCUUGCUGUUUUGACGUUACCGACAGAAUAAGCACCGGCUAACUUCGUGCCAGCAGCCGCGGUAAUACGAAGGGUGCAAGCGUUAAUCGGAAUUACUGGGCGUAAAGCGCGCGUAGGUGGUUUUGUAAGUUGGAGGUGAAAUCCCCGGGCUCAACCUGGGAACUGCCUCCAAAACUGCAUGACUAGAGUAUGGUAGAGGGUAGUGGAAUUUCCUGUGUAGCGGUGAAAUGCGUAGAUAUAGGAAGGAACACCAGUGGCGAAGGCGACUACCUGGACUGAUACUGACACUGAGGUGCGAAAGCGUGGGGAGCAAACAGGAUUAGAAACCCUGGUAGUCC
rnacentral:rRNA from 1 species